AAAAAAACUUGUUUUAAGGAAAAGUUUUCAGCAAUUUUUCAAAAUUGCCUCAUGCAAGCAAUACACACCAUCUCCCUUCCCACAAAUCGUGAUGUCAUUUUCGACCAAUAGCGUGUCCUGGCUAUUCUGAAAUUUAAUCGCACGUUUAAUUUGCGCCCUAUCUUAACCACAUGCUCCUUAAUUUAGAGCUUAAUUUUGUUUUAAUAGGAAUUUUUGAGAUGUGUUCCACCCUUGUUAGAUACAAACUUGUUUGCAUGCAAUCGCUUGUGAGAACUAAACAAUAAUAUUUGCUUACUUUUUCUGGGUUAGACUAAAAAUCCCAAUUGAAAUUGCAAGCAUUCUCUUUAAAUAGAAUUAAAUUAAUUUUGUUCGGUAUAUUAUGAACUGAUAACAUAUCUAUAAGACUGCUUUAAAACUCUACUACGCUUUUUAGUUUGUCUCAGAAAGAUAUUUUUGAGCAAUUAUAUAGUUUUUUUGCAAAUUCAAGAAUGGACCCAUCUUCACUAUGCUGCUUCUUACAGUAAUUCACCUUUAAUGAAAUUUUUUGCUGGAAAAAGAUGAUCAACUUGCCUGGGAGAGGAUGAAGAAUACUCUGAAUACCUCUACAGGGCUAGAAUAACCUGACUUGUCAUGCUGAACAGUUUCCCUUUCUCCGCCAAACUGUCUCAACGUCAAAAGGAUGGUAAACGUCCAGUGUCUUCUAGAAUAUGAGAUUUAGAACCCUCACAAGACUCCGCCUUCCCUGCCCUGCCCCCAGAACUG